GUGAAUGUUGUGCUUUAGACAUAUACUAAAAUUGGAAUGAUUCAGAGAAGAUUAGCAUGGUCCCUUUGCAAGGAUGACACGCAAAAAGGUGAAUGAUGAUACUUACUU
rnacentral:snRNA from 1 species